rnacentral:lncRNA from 1 species
GUUGCUCUUCAUUAAUUAUUCUAUAAUACUGUAUGGGUGUCUAUGCACAGGUGGGUGCAGUGGUGCAGCAGGUUUGGCCAGGGCCUUCUCUCUAGUGGGUCUGCAGUUUGAGUCCUUCUUGGGGUGCCUUGCAAUGGACUGGCGUCCUGUCUAGGGUGUGUCCCCUCUCCCUCCAGCCUUGCACCCUGCAUUUCCAGGUGUCCACAGAGAUCCUUAUCUUGUGUGUCCCAAUCCAGAGUCCUGAGGUGGAGUUGCUCUUUCAGAAAUGAGUCACUCCGGAGAGUGUAAGGAGGGGGAAACUUCCUCAAAAAUGAAUCUGAACAGAGUCCAGCAGGAGAGAACAGACUCACCCGAACCCAGCUGUGUGUCCAUGAAGAGUAACAGGUCAAUGGGUCACCCUGUUAACUUCCAUCAGGGACAGUUUUCUACAGGUGGAAGGUAG